UCCGGGCUACUGCCAUUGAGUGUGAGGGUAAGGAGGCGGGAAAUGGCGUCUGGAGGUACCGCGCACGGUCGGACAAACGGUGCCUGAACAUAGCCGUGGAAAGGUGGCCAGAGACAGCGGCCGUCCUCGGCACGGUGACCGAACAGCUAAGGGUAUCCUCAUAUCUCAUCAAAGAGAUACUUUGGAGUUUUGCAAAUCUUACAUGUGACUGUUAACAUCAUGAGGCUGAGAAUGCGCAAGGCUUCUCAGCAGACAAGUCCCACCCGCCCAUCACGGCAGAAGCGGAAGCACUCCGAGGUGGAUGAGUGUCCUGCCAGGGGCAAGGGUCUGCUCUCCACCAUCAAGAAGAUCAUCAGAGGCAACGCUGUCAAGGUCGAGCAUGAGAACCCGGCCAAGAGAAGUCGCCUGAGCUGUGACCUCAUCACGUCCACGCCGCAGACGGGCAACCUGCCAAAGAAGAGCAUCACCAGGGUGCGUAGGAGAGGCUCUGUCAACGGAGAAGCAACAAACCAUGACACGAGUAAAGGCUCUAAGCCGAAUGGGAAACUGGAGGAGGCGGGCGACACGGUCACCAGUCCGCCCCGCACCACCCUCCUGGACACCAUCUUCUCCCCUGUCUUCAACUACUUCUCACCAGCAAACAAGAACGGCACGUCUGGCUCUGACUCCCCAGACCAGGCGGUGGAAGCGGAGGAGAUCGUGAAGGCCCUGGACAUGGAGCAGGGCGAGGAGACCCCCACCAGCACCGCUACCUCCGAAGAGGUCGUCCGAGCGCCCCUCUACCCUCCCGCCCCGGCGCCCGCCCCCGCCGCCCUGCAUCCACCCCCCCUCCGGCCCCCACCCCCCGCAGACGAGCCCCCAGAGGAGGCCGAAAUCGCCGUAGACACGGACUUGCCCCCCCUCACAGCCCCAGACACAGUCCCGGAGGUGGCCUACGUGGAGGUCCCUGCCACCGUCCCACCAGAGGCUUCCUAUGAGGAGGACUGGGAGGUCUUUGACCCGUAUUUCUUCAUUAAGCAUGUGCCCCCUCUGACUGAGGAGCAACUGACGCGUAAGCCGGCUCUGCCUCUCAAGACCCGCAGCACUCCCGAGUUCUCCCUGGUGCUCGACUUGGAUGAGACGCUAGUACAUUGUAGCCUAAACGAGCUGGAAGACGCAGCACUUACCUUCCCUGUCCUCUUCCAAGACGUUAUAUACCAGGUGUAUGUGCGGUUGAGGCCGUUCUUUCGGGAGUUCCUGGAGAGGAUGUCACAGAUUUAUGAGAUCAUCCUCUUCACAGCCUCUAAGAAGGUGUACGCAGACAAGCUGCUCAACAUCCUCGACCCCAAGAAACAGCUGGUUAGGCACAGGUUGUUUCGGGAGCACUGUGUGUGCGUGCAGGGGAACUACAUCAAAGACCUGAACAUCCUUGGGAGGGACCUGUCCAAGACCAUCAUCAUCGAUAACUCCCCGCAGGCCUUCGCUUACCAGCUGUCUAAUGGCAUCCCAAUCGAGAGUUGGUUCAUGGACAGAAAUGACUGCGAGCUUCAGAAGUUGGUCCCUUUCUUGGAGAAACUAGUUGAGCUGAAUGAGGAUGUACGACCCCACGUAAGGGAGCGAUUCCGUCUCCACGACCUGCUCCCACCGGACUAAAACCCCUGCCUCUAACGGACCCUCUCUGACGGACACGAAGUAAUAAACACAACAAACAAACAACUCUAACACAACAGACCUGUACAAAGGAAACAAACAUAAAAAAAAAAAGCAAACCGAUUCUGGAUUCCGACCACAGCGUUGCGUUGCUGUGAAAUUUUACUGUUUUUUAAUUUUCUUUUGUAGUCCCCUCAUUUGUUUUUAAAACAGAACGCAUUUGAAAGUAACAAAAAGAGAAUUUUGUGUCAACACGCUGUUAACUUAGUGACUUGAUUGAUUGAUUGAUGGGGUUACACCCCUCCCCCUUUCCUCCCAUUGACCUGUAUAAAUGCAGUCAGUCAGAGAAGGAAAACUCAUUUUCCCACAAUCCCUUCACCCCAUCAGAGGUUUGGAUGAAGUGAAUGUGUAAAGGUCUGGAGGGAGAGCUGGAGGAGAAGAACGUGGACGCCGCCUCUUCUCUCCCAAGCUCUUCUCCUCGCAUGGCCUGCCAUGCCUCUCCAGCAACACCCCACUUUCAACAGGAAUGGCCAGUACUCGCAAAGGAACACCUGUGUGUGUGUGUGUGUGAGUAGUAUGUGUGUGAGUGAGAAAAAGCGAGAGAGAGAGAGAGAAAGUGAAAACAGCCUUUAUUCUUGUAAUGGUUCUGUUGAUAGUAAUUGAAACUGCCCCCCUCCCCCAGCAUCGUAUAAUGCAUUCCUGUAACUGUUUCAUUUACAUGUUUGGUAUUCUUGUGUCCUGGUCAGUGUUGAAGCUCCAUGUAUUCUAGCGUUGUUGUUUUCCUUCCAUCUGUUAGCCUACAGUGUGUCUGCUGAUGGUUGCACAAGAGGACUCUGUCUUUCUUUUAAGAGAAAAGAAUGAGAGACUUAACAUUAACAGAGAGCUGUGCUUGUCUGGCUCUGAAGUAGCAAAUUUGUUGACAGGGUUAAAGAUUGUAUUUGUUUAAACCAUCCCAUUAUUAUAUUAUUAUUAUUAUAUAUAUUUUUUUUUUUUUUAAAACGAAUGAAGUCAAAUUUAUAAAAUUGAUUUUGUUAGUUAAUUGUGAACAGAACGACCUCUGAGGUUUUUCCUUCUUGUAUAUUAACCCUCCCUUAAAUCUCCACUAAAGAGAUUAAUGAAUUGCCCGGCCAUUUGGCCAAGUCAUCUUUUCUGAUCUUGUUGAUGUAAUUGUAACGAUAGUAAUAAUGGCAGUGAUGUGUAGAGGUGAUGGUGUAAAAAUGGCUCAACGGUUGUUAGUCCUCCUGAAUGUGGUCCUUGGACUAAGCCCAGUGUGUGAUCGAUCUCUACCAGGCAGGCGGCACCGGACAGGGAGCUGAGGUGUUCCACUGUAAUCAGUGGAAACUGGCUACACCAGACGUGACGACAGCACGGAAAGCGCUCCAGCGAACGGAGCGGUUCACUUGUGCACCCGGUGUAAUCCGGCUGUAGGCAUAUGAAAGGGAGAUCUGACUCGCCCACCCCCAUAGUUUUGCAGCAGAAGGAGGUGUAUAAAUCCGCUGAACACCUAUGUAGCACACCUUUCCCUGUUCUCUCCCACAUCCUCUCUCUCUCCCUCCUCUUGCUCAUCCGGUUUCCUCUCUUUCACUGUCGUUCUCCAUGUCUGGUUCUGUCUCUCCCAGUCUGUUCCUCUCUCCCCUUCGCCAUCACCACAGCCUCACUCGCGGGGUGUGCUACCAAGUGAGGUGGCCGGCUUAUCUCUGAUCUCUAAAAAAACCAAAAACACUGGAUUGAUAGUAGCCAUGGUUUCAAAAGUGAAGUGGUUUUUAAGUUACCUUGAUAUGCUCUAUAUAUAUAAUCACACACACACACACACACACACACACACACACACACACCCCAGUGGUUACACCUGAAGUUACCUGGAUAAGCAGGUAACCUCGUUUCGUAGCGCCGCCCUCUGGUGUUAAAUGGUUGGGAGUAUUCUGGUCCCUCUCCAAAGGGCGUCGGACCUUGUAUGUAGCCGAACACAUCGCAAGAGCGACUUGCUUGAGUGGUCAAAACUCAUGACGGCGGUUUAAAAGCUGCCUCUCGUAGUUCUGUUUUUAUUUUUUUUUAAUUUUUUUUUUUAAUGGAUCUUAUUCUGUGGACUUACAUGUUAAUGUUAAAUGCCUUGGUUUAUACAAAAAAAAAUAAUGCAGUUGAAAGUAUUGUGCUAAGCAUCUUCUUGAUUGAAUGUGCGACUCUGGUCAACUUUGUGGGUCUGAGGGAGAGAAAACGGUUAAACACACAUGUUAAGGAGGUGGGAAAAAAAGACCACUUUAUAUGAGGUUUCCACUCCUGACCCCCUCACCGUCUCCAGGGCCAUGGACACUUUAUGGCAAACAGACCUUUGUCCUUUGUACAAAGAGGGGGAAAAAGAAAAACAGAUGUGGACCUGUUGUAGGGGUUUUCAUGUUGUAGCUUUCUCUCUCUCUCUCUCUCUCUCUCUCUCUCUCUCUCUCUCUCUCUCUCUCUCUCUCUCUCUCUCUCUCUCUCUGUCAUCGCACUGCCUUGCCUGUGUGUGUAGUGAUGGGCCUUACGCUCGUCUCCUCCGCCUGUUCUGAGUAGAAUCAUGUUCAUGGUGCCAUUCUAUUCCUCCUAGUCCUCCUCCUCUUUGGCGGCUCACAGCCCACCGUCUCCUGUGUCUCCAAGAGCCCUGGCCUACAUUGUUGGGAGGAUUUGCUCAGGCGUUGAGGGAGUGGACAGAGUUGUUAGGGCAGCUGUCCCUUACACCAUGUAUGUCCCCUCAUGGACAAAGAUGAACUUGUUACAUGUAUGUUUUUAUCUUGUCAUAUUAACUUUUUAUAUAUAUUUUAAUUUUCCUUUUAUUUUUUUGUAACUUGUAUCUGUAAAGUUGGUUAAAAAUGCAUACUAGCAGAGGGUGGACGUCUCUGGAACUUCCACGACUAGUUUGGGUAUUCCAGGGUUCCAGAACACCGUUGCUGAGCAACGGCAGGAGUGGUCCCCUGGAUCUACCUCCUGCCUCGGCCAAAGCAAAGCCCUCACUGAGUCAGAAGAUCAACAGACAGCUCGGUCCCAAGGAUCCCGGUUUGGAAUGCAGGCUUCCCCUCCAUUCUUUCAUGUGUAAAGACUGCAAAAAAACCUUCACUGCGCCAUACAUGGAAAGCUAUGUUGUCCAUGUGGGGGGUGGGGGGUGGGGGGUGGGGGGGAGAGAAAGAGAGACAAAAACUCCACAGGACACUGGCUCCACCAUCAGCCCUGACCACCCAGUAUCCUCUUCUGCGAGGACAUUGGGCAACUAAUAAUGAUCAUGACGAGAUUAUGCAAAUGUGUGAGAGCCAAGCCCUGUAGCCAGCAUCCCCCCCCCCCCCAAUUCUAAAUUGCCCCCCCCACCCCCCAAUAGAAGAAGAUAUGGGUGCAACUCGCCCCUACUAAAACCCAGGCACUUUUCUUACCAAGAGAGCUUAUUUUGUACAAUUGUCUAAGCAGUAGCAGAGUGAUGCUUAAAAAAAAUAUAUAGAAGAAAGUGGUGUUGGAGGGAUUUGAACAUGUACAACCAGUUCAUUUUAUGUGCAUUACCAUUUUUAUUGUACAAUGGAGUUAUAUUGUACGAAAAUACAUACAGCUUCAUGUAAGAAAAAAAUCCUUAAAAUAAGGAAAACUUUUUGUAUUUUUGAUUUCAAAAGGCAUGUCAUAUCUACUUUUUAAAUGUAUUAAUGAAGAUUUAACUUUACAAGAGAUGGAGUGUUUUUUUGUUUGUUUUUUUCUUACUGUAUUGUCUGUGUAUGGACGUUUAGUUAGGGCACUGUUGUAGAGGACAAAUCUUUAGCAUGUAGAAAAACAUAAGCCUGUUUUGUGGGAAAGUCCUUCAUUAAAUUUUAAUCCUGGCACUUUUUCUGCAGAAAAAAGAA